rnacentral:lncRNA from 7 species
AAACUCUUUAUUGAAAAUAAGUUGCAGUUGGUACACAGACACUGAAAAUACAUCAUCACGGAUCGCUCUCUCAAAAGAUAUUUUUAUAUAUAUUUAUAUAUAUAUAUAUACAAAAGUUGUAAACAUUUUUAACUUAUUUCCAUACACAGUCCACUGUAUACUACAAUCCACGUAAGGUUAGUGACAACUGCAACUCGUGGAAGCGGUCUGCUUAUACAGAGGUAUCUGCAAAAGAACUUAAAUUUGCAAACCACAUUUGGUAUCGUUUUGUUAUUAAAACUUGUAAAGAAUCUGAUGUUUAAACACAUAUUGCAACGAAAUAGAGGCAGCUGAACUUGGGUUUCAAGUUGGUACAGUGAAGGCCAUGUCUGAGCCUCGUGGGGGGCGGGAGGUUGACACGCAGCUUCUAAAUGCAAUCUAGAAAAGCAUUAUGAAUAAAACAGAGUGGAUCUCGACUUGUCUGCUCUCCCCAGGAAGACAAAGAAGGCUGAAAGGAAGUCUGCAAAUAUACGCAGCUUUUAGAGAGAGGAAUAUUGAUUCUACACUUUUACUAAUGAAUAGACAACGAUCACAGUUGGUUUAAUUCUAUUCAACUGCUCUCAUGGCUGCAGCAGGCAGAAGGGCAGCAGAUGUGAGUGGGGGGAACGGGACAGUGCUGCGGAGGAGAGAGAAGGGGAUGGAAAACUCACAGUAAGGAGCGGCCUAUGGAAAAAGCAGAGAAAUGCCAUAGCUGUCACUGUUGUAGCAUGAACUCAGCACUGCUGUGCAGCGACCUGCAGUUUGCCCAAUGGGAAACUCAUGGAUGUGGUUAAACUGCAGGAGAUGGUGAAGCACGUUGUUAGGGAGAUGUUUUUACUGAGUACUGGUUAAGCAAAGCUUCUACCUUGCUAGGAAUAGCUUAAGAUGCCGGGAGCAAUUUCCAAUUAAUGUCUGUAUUUCAAAUCCUUUUCUAAUGUGUUUAAAGUAUAAGUUCAUGCAAAACAGCAACAACAACCACCACCACCACCAUAAUGGGUUAACUUCAGUGCUGAGAAAUGCCUGUGUUGUCCCAACAGAGCCUCCUAGAGCACAAGGAUCUGGUAGAACAAAUCUCCAGGAAGGAAAGGUACAGGCUUGUUUACAGUCUAUUC